rnacentral:rRNA from 1 species
GCCAGAGCCAUAUGGACCUGGCGUCUCACUGAAGGUAAGCAGGGUUGAGUCUGGGCAGUACCUGGAUGGGAGACCUCCUGGGGAAAACUAAGGUUGCUGCUGGAA